rnacentral:rRNA from 1 species
GACGAACGCUGGCGGCGUGCUUAACACAUGCAAGUCGAACGAUGAAGCCGGAGCUUGCUCUGGUGAAUUAGUGGCGAACGGGUGAGUAACACGUGAGUAACCUGCCCUUGACUCUGGGAUAACUGCGGGAAACUGUAGCUAAUACCGGAUACGACCCUCGGAGGCAUCUCCUGGGGGUGGAAAGAAUUUCGGUCAAGGAUGGACUCGCGGCCUAUCAGCUAGUUGGUGAGGUAAAGGCUCACCAAGGCGACGACGGGUAGCCGGCCUGAGAGGGUGACCGGCCACACUGGGACUGAGACACGGCCCAGACUCCUACGGGAGGCAGCAGUGGGGAAUAUUGCACAAUGGGCGCAAGCCUGAUGCAACAACGCCGCGUGAGGGAUGACGGCCUUCGGGUUGUAAACCUCUUUUAGCAGGGAAGAAGCGAAAGUGACGGUACCUGCAGAAGAAGCCCCGGCUAACUUCGUGCCAGCCGCCGCUGUAA